rnacentral:rRNA from 1 species
UACGUAGGGCGCAAGCGUUGUCCGGAAUUAUUGGGCGUAAAGAGCUCGUAGGCGGUCUGUCGCGUCUGCUGUGAAAUCCCGAGGCUCAACCUCGGGCUUGCAGUGGGUACGGGCAGACUAGAGUGCGGUAGGGGAGAAUGGAAUUCCUGGUGUAGCGGUGGAAUGCGCAGAUAUCAGGAGGAACACCGAUGGCGAAGGCAGUUCUCUGGCCGUAACUGACGCUGAGGAGCGAAAGCGUGGGGAGCGAACAGA